CAUACUGCAAGUGUCCCCUGGGGUGUGG
rnacentral:sRNA from 1 species